rnacentral:rRNA from 1 species
AUAAAAAAUCAAUGUCUUCGGACUCUUUGAUGAUUCAUAAUAACUUUUCGAAUCGCAUGGCCUUGUGCUGGCGAUGGUUCAUUCAAAUUUCUGCCCUAUCAACUUUCGAUGGUAGGAUAGUGGCCUACCAUGGUUUCAACGGGUAACGGGGAAUAAGGGUUCGAUUCCGGAGAGGGAGCCUGAGAAACGGCUGCCACAUCCAAGGAAGGCAGCAGGCGCGCAAAUUACCCAAUCCUAAUUCAGGGAGGUAGUGACAAUAAAUAACGAUACAGGGCCCAUUCGGGUCUUGUAAUUGGAAUGAGUACAAUGUAAAUACCUUAACGAGGAACAAUUGGAGGGCAAGUCUGGUGCCAGCAGCCGGG